rnacentral:lncRNA from 1 species
ACACUGGAUGAAACGGGAGGUGCUCCACCUUGCGUCUCCCGGCCAGAUCCAUCACAAGUAAGCCUAAGCCAUGGACACCCCUCUUCCUCCCCUCCCACCCCAUGCCUCCUUCUCCAUCUCACCCACCACCACGAUGUGCAGGCACCCAGGAGGCCACCUACCUUCCUCUCUCAAGCUUCUCUGCAGCUAAGCAUAGAGAGCGCCUCCCGGGUGAGCACCGUCUCAGGUCGUGGGAUCUAGACUCCUCCCUCUGUCAUGGAUACACGGUGGGGCAGCACGGUGAUGCAGUCCAGCAUGCACGCCCGUGCAGCACGGUUGUGGCGGCGAGGCAUCUCGUGUAGUCUCUUCAGCUAGUGGCGCUUGCAGUUUGCGCGGAGCUCGGCGUCUCAUUUUUGAUGCAGCCUCGACUACCCCCACUCUGAUGCGGGCUUGUGCGAUGACUUGUUUGUCAGUACAACCCAUAAGUGCCUCAGGUGGUGUGAUUUUGGUCACCAGUCAAUUGCUCUUUAAUUCGAUGCACGCUCAGUUCAAUUUUUAGUUUUGUGAAAGAAAAUUUCAUCUAUUCUCUACUCUUGUGUUUCAUGUGUUGCUGUUCGCCAAUGUGUAUGGUUGUCCGUUCACUUGUUGCUAUUAGUGGAUGAGCAGAAAAAAGAUCGAAGGAUUCCGGCAACUGCGACUCUGCACAUGGGCGUCUAGUAUUGCCAACAGGGGGAGUGCAGCUUCACCAAUGGGAGCGUGCAGUUUGGCCCAUGGCGUCGACGGUGUAAGGGCAUAUUUAUCCCUAAGUGUUUUGGUGAUUGAUGACAAUACUCGUGCGGACUAAUCGUGUGCCUUGAGUCCCUCAGAUACUUCAUCAUUAGGCACAAGACGAUUCGGUGCCCCUCGGAGACUGUUGAAGCCGGCGUUGUUCUACGU